rnacentral:rRNA from 1 species
GAUGAACGCUGGCGGCGUGCUUAACACAUGCAAGUCGAACGAUGAAGCCCAGCUUGCUGGGUGGAUUAGUGGCGAACGGGUGAGUAACACGUGUGUAACCUGCCCUUAACUCUGGGAUAAGCCUGGGAAACUGGGUCUAAUACCGGAUAGGAGCGCCUACCGCAUGGUGGGUGUUGGAAAGAUUUAUCGGUUUUGGAUGGACUCGCGGCCUAUCAGCUUGUUGGUGAGGUAAUGGCUCACCAAGGCGACGACGGGUAGCCGGCCUGAGAGGGUGACCGGCCACACUGGGACUGAGACACGGCCCAGACUCCUACGGGAGGCAGCAGUGGGGAAUAUUGCACAAUGGGCGAAAGCCUGAUGCAGCGACGCCGCGUGAGGGAUGACGGCCUUCGGGUUGUAAACCUCUUUCAGUAGGGAAGAAGCGAAAGUGACGGUACCUGCAGAAGAAGCACCGGCUAACUACGUG